AGGAACACGGUAAUAAGAGCGGAGGUCAGAGAGCAGGGGUGCCUGGAGAGGGCCCAGCUCUGGAAGGGUCGGUGAGUCAUUACAAUGACUUUUGCUUCACUCUGUGUGAGAUGGCGAGCCACCGGCAGGUUGGAGCAGAGAGGAGGCAGCAUCUGACUAUUAUUCGAAAAGCAACCCCCUACGGCCACUCCAUUACCGGGGUUAUAGCUCAUUUAGUCCUCACCAGGAUGCCGCCGAGCAAUGAGGAUUUGUAACUGAGGAAACUGAGGCAUGAAGUGACUUGCUCAACAGCCACCUGUCUGUCUCCAACACCAUGCAACUGCACAGAGAUAAAGAAACUGAAGCCCCAAAGGACAAUGACUUGCUCACGGCCAGACCCUAAAUAUCAACAAAGGACCUUGAGCUCUUUCAGAAUACUCUAAUAUGUCUUCAGACCCUGUGAUCUCCCAGCCUGGUGGUUUCUACUUGACUCACUGAGAGCCUGCCUUGCACCAGACACAGUCUCCACUCAAGGAAUUAACAGCCAAGUGGAAGAAGUCCAUCUGCCAGGACACCUGAGUGGCAGGUGUUACUACAGGGUGGCCCCUCGACCCUACGUGUUGAGAGACCAGAUAGAUCUGCCGGACCAGCCCUCCAGACAUCCUAGACUGGCCUGAGUGCUCUGUCCUAGAGACUGGCCCUGCACGCAUGGCUCUCUGCAGCGGGACUCUGCCAGUGCCAGAGGGGACGUAAUCCAGCUAUAGUUCACGAUGAUCAACCCAUAUUCACUGGAGGCGUGGUGAAGUUUCUAGAAAUGUGGGGUAGGAGAAACAGCUGAAUGACUUGGACGAUUUGUCUUGGGGAGGUAUUAGUGCAGAUACGAUAUUUGUCUUUGGACAUCUGAAUGGUCAUCUCAUAGGGAAAAAGUAACAAGCAUGCUCUGUGGAGCUCCGACAUAAAUAGCCAGCUCUGAAAUGUGUAAAAUGAGUUGAAACAUAUUUUGGUUUGUGGUAAGGCCGCACUGCCUGACAAUUUAAGCCAUCCAUAAAUGAAAUGAGCUGCUUAGAAAAGGAACAAUUUCUCUGUCAUUGGAGGUGUUCCCAGCAUAUUCCUGAAGGCCAGGGGGCAAGAGUGUUGCCAAAAUUACGCCCACUUUGGUAGGAAGUUGGAGAAGAGGUUGAGUUCUUUCUGAAUCUAUGGUUCUCUAACCUGCUGGAUCUUUGUUCAGAUCGCGAGGCUGCUCUGUGUCACCCGUGUAAGUACAUAGAUCCCUGAAGAUCAAAAGACAGAGAAGAAAAUGCAGGGGACUUGAGUCCGUCGUUAUCUAGGCUUCCUUUCUGAAUUUAUUUCAUGAAAUGGAUGAGACUCUGGAAAUUGUGUUAUUUCCCUAGACAAACUAUCCUAGUUUAUAUCCCUUAUCAGAAAGAUUUCCGUUUUCUUCCUCGUAAAUCUCUAGGCCUAACUCUUAAGCCCAUUCCUUCUGGCUUGAUGCUCCGUGAAUAUGAAGAACAAUCAAUCAUAUCCCUCAUUAUACCAAUUCAUAUAACUAAAAACGCGUCGCGUAAAGCUUCUCUCCUCUAGGCUGAGAAAUUCCAGUUCAUUUCCUGCUCUUCUUAAGUGCUCUUUCUAAUGAUCACUUCCCUGAGUUCCUCUAAAAGUUCUCUAAGACCGAGCACAGAACUCAUAAUGACUCUAUUUGCUAUAACAGUGUUCCCCAAAAUGUGUUCCGUGGAACAUUACUUAAUGUUUUUUUUUUUUUUAAGUGCCCUGUGAUCCGAUACAUUUGGAACAUUCCAGUCUAAGUGAAGUUAAUAAGAUUCAUCAGAGCUCUCCCUGUGCAUUAUGAAUCUCCUAGACAGGGAUGCAAUAUGUAGCAUCUCCCCAAACUUAUGUGCACAGAGAUCUCUUUUAGAGCAUCUCAAAGGCCUCAUGUUCCACCACAGAACACAACCUAGCACGUGUUCCACUAUAAAAUGAUGCUCCCCCCCCCCCCCCGCCACACACACACACCACAGAGCUCUCCAUCCUUGAGCCCUUUCCUAGCUAUGUGAUCAGGCCUCCCUCUCCUUCCCUCAGGAACCACCUCCCCAGCCAGGUUUGUCUCACAGCCCCACCUUCCUGCCACCACCUCUGUUGGCCAGACCCAAACUUCAGUCCCAGGCUAAGCUAAUGUGGUAUAACAGAGUCCUGAUGAGCAACGGAGGUGCCCAGGAUCUCAACCAGGGCAACCCCUUCAAGAGCCAGAGAAGACUAAGAAUGGCCCAGGUUGGCUUUCCCACAGCAGGAGAGAGAAAGUGCUGGGUCUGUAGCUCCCAGUUCAGUGCUCCUAAAGCUCACCAGGGAGCUGGUCCUCAAGCCGGGAACUCACUGCAAAACCAUUUUCCUGGGCCUCACUUCAACCUCGUGAAUCAGACUCUCUUAAAAGCCUUUUUUUUUAGCCCGCAAGAUAUCCUAGGGCUCUGCCAGGUUUGGGAACCACCACAUCACAUAGCACCAGCUCCAAAAGCAGGGUCACACAUAAGUCCAAUUUGGCCUCUGCUCCCAAUUUAUUUACUAGUCUGGGGAAUUCAACUUAUCUGAGCCUCUGUUUCUCCAUUGGUAGAAUGAGUCAUUUGGACCACCGGUUGACCUGUAAGAUUCCUUCCAGCAAUUUGAUUCUGUCAUUACUAAGGGCUACCUUAGUUGUGCUCAAUGUUUACCCAUCUAUUCUGGCUGGCACUAUUUCUCCUGACUCUGAGUAUUUACAUAACUAUCUUUGCAUAACCAUAACCAAAGCAUAAUAUAUAUGUAAAAUAUCUCCACCUUAUAAUAAUAUUUUUGGAGUGUCUCUGAUGGAACAGGUGCUUUACAAAGUUAUUGCUAAUGCUUACAACAAUCUUCAAGGUAUUAAUAUCCUGUUUUAAUAAAAAGAAACCAGGUGCCUACAAUGUGAAAUAAAAUUUUCAAGGUCAUGCCAUUUUUAAGCUGUGGAACUGGAUUUCCAAACCAGGUCUGCCUGAUUCCAGACACUAUGCUCUGUCCACAGUGCCACACUGCUUGUAAUGUGAGUCACGUUUCCUCAUUAAAGGUGUAAGUUUUCUCCUCAUGCAUCCCUUACAGCACCAGCACCUAGCUGAGUAUCAAGUAGGCACUCAAUAAAUAUUUGUUGACUUGAUUAGUGGAUUAACUCUCUCCUUCUACCUGGAGCAGAGACCACAUCUUUUCCAUGUUGUAAAAAAAAAAAAAAAAGAAAAGAAAAAAGUGCAAAACCCAGAGCCCAUCUGCAAGUUCUCAGUUAGCUCACAGGAGCAAAUUACAUCUGUGUAGACCGCACCUGUAGAUGGAAGCUUAAUUAAUAGGCUUAUCUUGGAUUGAAUGAGUCUAGGAUACAGUACCUUAGGCAAAAGGCACAGGGGAAUGUGUUGACUUGGAGGGGGCAUGUUUCAUUUCUCUCGUUUCAUACCAUUAAAACCAUGUUAAUGAAAAUGUAUUAUUGGUAGUAAUAAUAAUAAAGAUGAAAAUCCUCCCUU